UACGUAGGAUGCAAGCGUUGUCCGGAAUUAUUGGGCGUAAAGAGCGCGCAGGCGGUAUGACAAGUCAGAUGUGAAAGAGGCCGGCUUAACCGGCAAGGGUCAUUUGAAACUGUCAGACUAGAGUGCAGCAGAGGAUAGUGGAAUUCCCGGUGUAGUGGUGAAAUUCGUAGAUAUGGGGAGGAACACCGGUGGCGAAGGCGGCCACCUGGACGGUCACUGACGCUGAGACGCGAAAGCGUGGGGAGCAAACAGG
rnacentral:rRNA from 1 species